rnacentral:rRNA from 1 species
UUUCGUCGGCGACCGGCGCACGGUGAGUAACACGUAUGCAACCUGCCCUCUUCAGGGGGACAACCUUCCGAAAGGGAGGCUAAUCCCGCGUAUAUCGGUUUCGGGCAUCCGAGAUCGAGGAAAGAUUCAUCGGAAGAGGAUGGGCAUGCGGCGCAUUAGCUAGACGGCGGGGUAACGGCCCACCGUGGCGACGAUGCGUAGGGGUUCUGAGAGGAAGGUCCCCCACACUGGUACUGAGACACGGACCAGACUCCUACGGGAGGCAGCAG